rnacentral:rRNA from 1 species
UGGGGAAUAUUGGACAAUGGGCGCAAGCCUGAUCCAGCCAUGCCGCGUGAGUGAUGACGGCCUUAGGGUUGUAAAGCUCUUUUAUCCGGGACGAUAAUGACGGUACCGGAUGAAUAAGCCCCGGCUAACUUCGUGCCAGCAGCCGCGGUAAUACGAAGGGGGCUAGCGUUGCUCGGAAUCACUGGGCGUAAAGGGCGCGUAGGCGGCUGAUCAAGUCGAGGGGUGAAAGCCCGUGGCUCAACCACGGAAUGGCCUUCGAUACUGGUUGGCUUGAGACCGGAAGAGGACAGCGGAACUGCGAGUGUAGAGGUGAAAUUCGUAGAUAUUCGCAAGAACACCAGUGGCGAAGGCGGCUGUCUGGUCCGGUUCUGACGCUGAGGCGCGAAAGCGUGGGGAGCAAACAGGAUUAGAUACCCUGGUAGUCCACGCUGUAAACGAUGAAUGCUAGCCGUUGGGGUGCAUGCACCUCAGUGGCGCCGCUAACGCAUUAAGCAUUCC